AUGGGGACACACACCGGGUACACAGGGAUACACUCACAGGUGCAUGGGGACACACACCGGGUACACAGGGAUACACUCACAGGUAUAUGGGGACACACACCGGGUACACAGGGAUACACCCACAGGUACAUGGGGACACACACCGGGUACACAGGGAUACACUCACAGGUGCAUGGGGACACACACAGGGGUACACAGGGAUACACUCACAGGUGCAUGGGGACACACACAGGGUACACAGGGAUACACUCACAGGUACAUGGGGACACACACAGGGUACACAGGGAUACACACAGGUACAUGGGGACACACACGGGUACACAGGGAUACACUCACAGGUGCAUGGGGACACACAGGGUACACAGGAUACACUCACAGGUACAGGGACACACAGGGUACACAGGGAUACACCCACAGGUACAUGGGGACACACACAGGGUACACAGGGAUACACUCACAGGUACAUGGGGACACACACAGGGGUAUGCAGGGAUACACUCACAGGUACAUGGGGACACACACAGGGUACAUAGGGAUACACUCACAGGUGCACGGGGACACACACAGGGUACACAGGGAUACACUCACAGGUGCACGGGGACACACACAGGGUACACAGGGAUACACUCACAGGUGCACGGGACACACAGGGUACACAGGGAUACACUCACAGGUACACGGGACACACACAGGGUACACAGGGAUACACUCACAGGUACACGGGACACACAGGGUACACAGGGAUACACUCACAGGUACAUGGGGACACACACAGGGUACACAGGGAUACACUCACAGGUACAUGGGGACACACACAGGGGUAUGCAGGGAUACACUCACAGGUACAUGGGGACACACACAGGGUACAUAGGGAUACACUCACAGGUGCAGGGGACACACAGGGUACACAGGGAUACACUCCACAGGUGCAGGGACACACACACAGGGUACACAGGGAUACACUCACAGGUGCACGGGGACACACACAGGGUACACAGGGAUACACUCACAGGUGCACGGGGACACACACAGGGUACACAGGGAUACACUCACAGGUACAUGGGGACACACACAGGGUACACAGGGAUACACUCACAGGUGCACGGGGACACACACAGGGUACACAGGGAUACACUCACAGGUACAUGGGGACACACACAGGGUACACAGGGAUACACUCACAGGUACAUGGGGACACACACACACACAGACAGACACAAGUACACAGAGAAACACGGACACAUGCACUCACACACACAUGUGCACGCCAAAUCAUGGCCACUUGCUGGGUCAUGUCCGACUCUUUGUGACCCCAUGCACUGCAGCUUGCCAGGCUUUCCUGUCCUCCACUAUGGCCCGGAGUUUGCUCAAAUCCAUGUCCGUUGA
rnacentral:lncRNA from 1 species